ACACAAGGGAGCUUGCUCCUGAGGUGUCGAGCGGCGGACGGGUGAGUAAUGCCUAGAUAUCUGCCUAGUCGUGGGGGAUAACAGUUGGAAACGACUGCUAAUACCGCAUACGCCCUACGGGGGAAAGGAGGGGACCUUCGGGCCUUUCGCGAUUAGAUGAGUCUAGGUGGGAUUAGCUAGUUGGUAAGGUAAUGGCUUACCAAGGCGACGAUCCCUAGCUGUUCUGAGAGGAUGAUCAGCCACACUGGGACUGAGACACGGCCCAGACUCCUACGGGAGGCAGCAGUGGGGAAUAUUGCACAAUGGGCGAAAGCCUGAUGCAGCCAUGCCGCGUGUGUGAAGAAGGCCUUCGGGUUGUAAAGCACUUUCAGCGAGGAGGAAAGGUUGGUAGUUAAUAGCUGCUAGCUGUGACGUUACUCGCAGAAGAAGCACCGGCUAACUUCGUGCCAGCAGCCGCGGUAAUACGAGGGGUGCAAGCGUUAAUCGGAAUUACUGGGCGUAAAGCGUACGCAGGCGGUUUGUUAAGCAAGAUGUGAAAGCCCCGGGCUCAACCUGGGAAUUGCAUUUUGAACUGGCAAACUAGAGUCUUGUAGAGGGGGGUAGAAUUUCAGGUGUAGCGGUGAAAUGCGUAGAGAUCUGAAGGAAUACCGGUGGCGAAGGCGGCCCCCUGGACAAAGACUGACGCUCAGGUACGAAAGCGUGGGGAGCAAACAGGAUUAG
rnacentral:rRNA from 1 species